rnacentral:rRNA from 1 species
AGUGAACGCUGGCGGUAGGCCUAACACAUGCAAGUCGAACGGCAGCACAGUAAGAGCUUGCUCUUACGGGUGGCGAGUGGCGGACGGGUGAGGAGUACAUCGGAAUCUACUUUUUCGUGGGGGAUAACGUAGGGAAACUUACGCUAAUACCGCAUACGACCUACGGGUGAAAGCAGGGGAUCUUCGGACCUUGCGCGAUUGAAUGAGCCGAUGUCGGAUUAGCUAGUUGGCGGGGUAAAGGCCCACCAAGGCGGCGAUCCGUAGCUGGUCUGAGAGGAUGAUCAGCCACACUGGAACUGAGACACGGUCCAGACUCCUACGGGAGGCAGCAGUGGGGAAUAUUGGACAAUGGGAGCAAGCCUGAUCCAGCCAUACCGCGUGGGUGAAGAAGGCCUUCGGGUUGUAAAGCCCUUUUGUUGGGAAAGAAAAGCAGCAGGUUAAUACCCCGCUGUUCUGACGGUACCCAAAGAAUAAGCACCGGCUAACUUCGUG